rnacentral:rRNA from 1 species
GACGAACCGUACGAACGUUAUUCGGAAUCACUGGGCUUAAAGGGUGCGUAGGCGGCGCGACAAGUUGGGUGUGAAAUCCCUCGGCUCAACCGAGGAACUGCGCCCAAAACUGUCGUGCUCGAGGGAGACAGAGGUGAGCGGAACUUAGGGUGGAGCGGUGAAAUGCGUUGAUAUCCUAAGGAACACCGGUGGCGAAAGCGGCUCACUGGGUCUCUGCUGACGCUGAGGCACGAAAGCUAGGGGAGCGAACAGG